GAUGAACGCUGGCGGCGUGCCUAAUACAUGCAAGUCGAGCGAACGGACGAGAAGCUUGCUUCUCUGAUGUUAGCGGCGGACGGGUGAGUAACACGUGGAUAACCUACCUAUAAGACUGGGAUAACUUCGGGAAACCGUAGCUAAUACCGGAUAAUAUUUUGAACCGCAUGGUUCAAAAGUGAAAGACGGUCUUGCUGUCACUUAUAGAUGGAUCCGCGCUGCAUUAGCUAGUUGGUAAGGUAACGGCUUACCAAGGCAACGAUGCAUAGCCGACCUGAGAGGGUGAUCGGCCACGCUGGAACUGAGACACGGUCCAGACUCCUACGGGAGGCAGCAGUAGGGAAUCUUCCGCAAUGGGCGCAAGCCUGACGGAGCAACGCCGCGCGAGUGAUGAAGGUCUUCGGAUCGUAAAACUCUGUUAUUAGGGAAGAACAUAUGUGUAAGUAACUGUGCACAUCUUGACGGUACCUAAUCAGAAAGCCACGGCUAACUACGUG
rnacentral:rRNA from 1 species